CCUACGGGUGGCAGCAGUGGGGGAUAUUGCACAAUGGGGGAAACCCUGAUGCAGCGACGCCGCGUGUGGGAAGACGGUCUUCUGGAUUGUAAACCACUGUCCCCAGGGACGAAAAUGACGGUACCUGGGGAGGAAGCUCCGGCUAACUACGUGCCAGCAGCCGCGGUAAUACGUAGGGAGCAAGUGUUGUCCGGAAUUACUGGGUGUAAGGGGAGCGUAGGCGGGGAUGCAAGUUGGGUGUAAAAACUACCGGCUCAACCGAUAGUCGCACUCAAAACUGCAGCGCUUGAGUGAAGUAGAGGCAGGCGGAAUUCCUAGUGUAGCGGUGAAAUGCGUAGAUAUUAGGAGGAACACCAGUGGCGAAGGCGGCCUGCUGGGCUUUGACUGACGCUGAGGCUCGAAAGUGUGGGGAGCAAACAGGAUUAGAUACCCGUGUAGUC
rnacentral:rRNA from 1 species